AUUGAACGCUGGCGGCAAGCCUAACACAUGCAAGUCGAACGGAGUGGCGGACGGGUGAGUAAUGUCUGGGAAACUGCCUGAUGGAGGGGGAUAACUACUGGAAACGGUAGCUACUACCGCAUACUACCCGUUGAGCCUAGGUCGGAUUAGCGAGUUGGUGGGGUAAAGGCCUACCAAGGCGACGAUCCGUAACUGGUCUGAGAGGAUGAUCAGUCACACUGGAACUGAGACACGGUACAGACUCCUACGGGAGGCAGCAGUGGGGAAUAUUGGACAAUGGGCGAAAGCCUGAUCCAGCCAUGCCGCGUGUGUGAAGAAGGUCUUCGGAUUGUAAAGCACUUUAAGUUGGGAGGCGUUACCAACAGAAUAAGCACCGGCUAACUUCGUGCCAGCCGCCGCGGUAAUAC
rnacentral:rRNA from 1 species